UACAGAGGGGGCAAGCGUUGUUCGGAAUUACUGGGCGUAAAGGGCGCGUAAGCGGCCCGCUAAGUCGAACGUGAAAUCCCCGAGCUCAACUCGGGAACUGCGUCCGAUACUGGCGGGCUUGAAUCCGGGAGAGGGAUGCGGAAUUCCAGGUGUAGCGGUGAAAUGCGUAGAUAUCUGGAGGAACACCGGUGGCGAAGGCGGCAUCCUGGACCGGCAUUGACGCUGAGGCGCGAAAGCCAGGGGAGCAAACGGG
rnacentral:rRNA from 1 species